CAGUAUCACUAGUUUAGUGUACGAUGUCUGCUGUACUGUAACUAUAUUUGAUAGCACCGCGGUGGUGUGGGCCAUAACUGUCACAGGUAACAGACAAAUUUAUUUUAUUACAUCAUAAACACCUCCGAAUUGAAUUUUGAAGGUGCGAGGUGGAAUUUCCAUGUGUUUGAAUUAGUACCGUACUUGAGUCAUUAUUAUAGUUCACUGAUCGAGUUACAGUUGGGUUGUCAACUUGUUGAUUUGGUUAUUAGCGUGUAUAUAUUUAUAAAAGUUUGGAUUAAAAGUUGUAACCCAAUGUACUGUAAGAUAAACCAAAAACAACAACGAUGAAGUAUAUGUGUGCUCUAGUAGUCAUCACUGCUUUGGUAACAAUGGCUAUGGUUGGAAUUCAAGCCAGCGUGAACUACGUGUGUUCUCCUGCUGGAAAGUCGUGUGAGAUUCUGAUAUGUUGCCCCGGAACGAGCUGUUCACCUGCAAAUGUUUGCGUAUCCCACUGCAGUGAUGGAAACAUGGCUUAGUACUUUCUCAUCAGACACUGCUGCAAAUGUUUUUGCAAUAAAAAUGUGUUGUUGAUAAUAAAAAGCUUGCAUUACUAAUUUUAAA
rnacentral:lncRNA from 1 species